UACAGAGGUCUCAAGCGUUGUUCGGAUUCAUUGGGCGUAAAGGGUGCGUAGGUGGCGAGGUUAGUCAGGUGUGAAAUCUCGGGGCUCAACCCCGAAACUGCACUUGAUACUGCCUUGCUAGAGUACUGGAGAGGAGAUUGGAAUUUACGGUGUAGCAGUGAAAUGCGUAGAUAUCGUAAGGAAGACCAGUGGCGAAGGCGAAUCUCUGGACAGUUACUGACGCUGAGACGCGAAAGCGUGGGGAGCAAACAGG
rnacentral:rRNA from 1 species